CUCGCGGCGGCCUACACAUGCAGUCGAGCAGAUGAAGAGAGCUUGCUCUCUGAUUCAGCGGCGGACGGGUGAGUAAUGCCUAGGAAUCUGCCUGGUAGGGGGGGACAACAUCUCGAAGAGGACACUAAUACCGCAUACAUCCUACGGGAGAAAGCAUGGGACCUUCCGGCCUUGCACAAUCCCAUGAGCCUAGGACGGAUUACCUAAUUGGUGAGGUAAUGGCUCACCAAAGCGACGAUCCGUAACUGGUCUGACAGGAUGAUCAGUCACACUGGAACUGACACACGGUCCAGACUCCUACCGGAGGCAGCAGUGGGGAAUAUUGGACAAUGGGCGAAAGCCUGAUCCACCCAUGCCGCGUGUGUGAAUAACGUCUUCUGAUUGUAAAGCACUUUAAAUUGGGAGGAAGGGCACUACGCUAAUACCUUGCUGUUUUGACGUUACCGACAGAAUAAGCACCGGCUAACUCUGUGCCAUUCAUCGCGGUAAU
rnacentral:rRNA from 1 species